GCAAGUCGAGGGGUAACAGGGGCUUCGGCCCGCUGACGACCGGCGCACGGGUGAGUAACGCGUACGCAACUUACCUCCAAACGAGGGAUAGCCCUGGGAAACUGGGAUUAAUACCUCAUGUGAUUAUAAUACCGCCUGGUAUAAUAAUUAAAGCUUCGGCGUUUGGAGAUAGGCGUGCGUCCCAUUAGCUAGUUGGUGAGGUAACGGCUCACCAAGGCUACGAUGGGUAGGGGGCGUGAGAGCGUGGCC
rnacentral:rRNA from 1 species